CUUGAUAACUAUAAGAGGUCCAGCCUGCCCAGUGACUCUGUUCAACGGCCGCGGUAUCCUAACCGUGCGAAGGUAGCGUAAUCACUUGUUCUUUAAAUAAGGACUAGUAUGAAAGGCACCACGAGGGUUGCACUGUCUCCUUUCUCUAAUCAGUGAAACUAAUCUUCCCGUGAAGAAGCGGGAAUAAAAAUAUAAGACGAGAAGACCCUAUGGAGCUUUAAACUAAAUAAUAAUAGCCUACUCAUUUACACAACUCCAGAUGAAUACUUUACCCUGGCUCAAUAAUUAUUAGUUUUUGGUUGGGGUGACCACGGAGAAAAAAGAAACCUCCGCAAUGAAAGACUCUCCUUCUUAGUUUAGGACUACUUUCCUACGCAUCAAUAAAUUGACACAUAUUGACCCAACAACGUUGAUCAAUGAAC
rnacentral:rRNA from 1 species